GACGAACCGUGCGAACGUUAUUCGGAAUCACUGGGCUUAAAGGGCGCGUAGGCGGGACGGCGCGUCGGCAGCUGAAAUCCCCCGGCUCAACCGGGGAACAGGCGCCGAUACGGCCGGUCCUGGAGGCGAGGAGGGGGACCCGGAACGUCCGGUGGAGCGGUGAAAUGCGUUGAGAUCGGACGGAACACCGACGGCGAAAGCAGGGUCCUGGACUCGUACUGACGCUGAGGCGCGAAAGCCAGGGGAGCGAACGGG
rnacentral:rRNA from 1 species